ensembl:lncRNA
CGAAAGAGUGAAUCUAGGUCUUAACGGAAUUCCCAGCUGCCUUUUUACCUCCUCUUCUAGAAAUUUGGGCUCUUUUAUUUUUAUUUUUGAAUUUUUUUGAAUUUGCUAUUCUUGUCUCCACCUACCUUGUUCCCUAUAAUUGCUCACAUACUCCUUUUAUUAAUUUAUGAAUCUUUGUUCUUUUCCUAGUAGGCCAUACAAAGACAUUUGAAUAAUAUAUUCUCGUUUUCUCCUUUUAUUACACAAAAGUUAAUAUGUACUAUACUGCACUCUACAUCUCAAUUUUUUUUUUUUAACCUGUGGUAGAAACCACCGUGUAUGAACACACCGAGACCUUCCUACGGCACAGGGACUCUCUGUUGAACCAGUUCUGUAUCAGUGGACACUUGAGUUCUUUCCGGUCUUUUGUUGCAAUAGUGCUAUAAGGAAUAACCGUGUGUAUGUAUACUUUUGUAUGGAUACAGUACGUUCCCAGAGUGGAAUCGCUGGGUUGUGUUGGGAUGUCCCUCACACUGCCUUCAGGCUAGGUAAUUCACAAGAGGCGUCAUAGGACUUGGCGAGUGGUGGAAUUCCCAGCCAGGAUUUAUUACAUCAAAAGGACACUAAGCACAAGGAGCCAAGGGGAAGGGCACAUGGAGUGCAGUCUGGGGAGCCAGGUACAAGCUUCCAAGGGUCCUUAAGAUGUGCUUAAUUCUCCUAACAAUGAGUGACAACUUGUGAAACCAAGGGAAGCUCAUUAGCGACCUGGUAUCCAGGAUUUAUACUGGGGACUGGUCAAACAGACACCCCUACCUGGCAUCUAUGCAGUGGAAAUUCCGUUGUCCUAGAGGAAAAGCCGGCGUUCACCAUAAACCACAUUGUUCUCUUUUUUCUUUUCUUUUUUGGCCACGCUCACAGCAUGCAGAAGUUCCAGAACAGGGAUUGAACUUAUGCCACAGCAGCAACCCAAGCCACUGCAGUGCCAAUGCCAGACCCUUAACCUGCUGAAACAAGGGAACUCCUAAACCGCAUUGUUUUUUUGAACUGUUUCGGGCCAGUGGGCCACUCUUGUCAGUUAGGGUGGUAAGAACCCUCCCGAAAUCCAGGUUCCCAGAUGCCACCCAAUAGGCCCGUUAUUUAUUUAUUUGUUGUCUUUUUAGGGCUGUACCACAGCAUAUGGAGGUUGCCAGGCUAGGGGUCUAAUCCUAGCUGUAGCUGCUGGCACAGCCACAGCAAGGCCAGAUCUGAGCCUCGUCUGCAACCUACACCACAGCUCACAGCAAUGCCAGAUCCUUAACCCACUGAGCGAGGCCAGGGAUUGAACCCGAAACCUCAUGGUUCCUAGUCGGGUUCAUUUCCACUGCGCCAUGAUGGGAACUCCUGCACGUAUUUUAAAUUGUCUGUAAACUGGGUAAAAAAUCUGGCUGUGCUUUAGCUACUCAGUUUUUUUCCUCUGAAGACAACCAAGUAUCAGUUUCUUAUGCCUUCCUAUACAUAGUAUGUAAAAUACCUAUGUAAACAAUAAAAUACAUAAUAUUUCACCACUUUUUUUUUAACACAAACAGAAGCAUAUUCUAUACCCUACUGUUUUGUACUUAAUACUAUAUGGGAACCUUUCCAUAGCUACUUACAGAUUUUUUUUUUUUUAAUAUGGUAGCUAGUUCUUUUUUAUGGUAUGGAUAUGUCUUUACUUAUUUAACCAGUUCCUUCAAUGAAUAUUUGUUAUGUUUCUAGAAUUUUGCGAUUACAAACAAGUUUGCAAUAAGUAACCUCAAUUAUAUGUAAAUUUGCAAGUGUCAAGGUAUGGAAAAAAUUCACACAUGUCUACAUGCUGGAUCAGAGGCUACGAACAUUUUUAGGAUACUAGAAUUGCAUUUUAUAGGGAUUAUACUAGUUUAUGUUCAUAAACUUUACAUCUGUAAAGUAAUACAUGAGAGCCUGUUUGCCCAUGUGCUUAUCACAGGUUGCUUUUUCUUUGGAUUGGGUUUCUAAUAAACUAAUAAUUAAUAGAAAUUAUAGUCACUAAAAUGUUUGCUUUUUUACCUGCUGAUAAAUGUUAGGGAAGAGGUGAAAAGAAGACUGUAUUUGUGUUUUGAAAUUGUGUACAAAAAGUCACAUCUCUAUCCGUUGUCUGGAUAUCUUUUCCCUCCUGACAUGGAAACGUGAAUAUAUCUGUCUUUCUUUUUUUCUUUUUGCUCUGGUCUAGGCCAAAGUGGAGAUGGCAGGACCCAUCUUAAUGACAAGUAUGGCUAUUGAUUGGUUCCGAAUUCUAAAGGAAGACCUUGUGGACCAUGUGACAUGGGGUAUUUAGCAUAAUAUAUCAAGUUCAGUGUCCAGAGAAGGAGUUCAGAUGAUCAUUUGUAAAAUCUGGUGAUUGGCCUUUUCUUCUUGAUCUUGGCUUCCCACAUUUCUCUACCCAUCUGAUUCUCUUGACUUUGGUAUUUAUAUUUAAAAGUGUUUGUGUAUGUAUGUAAAAAGGAACCAUGUAUUUUGAGAAUUGGUAAGAUGAGAGACCUGACUCUGUUAAAAUGAGAAGGUGAAGAUAUCUCAUGUUUAUUUAAGGCCACAGAGUCUUUCUUAAGCUUUAGGAACUGUGCUUUUCCUGAGCACUAGCAUGCUUCUGGCAGUUAGGCGUAGAAGUCACUGAUAAUUUUGCCUCCUCAGAUAAGUGGUAAAAUGUGAGAUCAUGCAGGGAGUUCCCAUCAUGGCUCAGCAGUAACAAGCCUGACUAGGAUCCAUGAGGAUGCAGGUUCGGUCCCUGGCCUCACUCAGUGGGUUAAGGAUCUGGCAUUGCCGUGAGCUGCGGUGUAGGUCUCAGACACAGCUUGGAUCCCACAUUGCUGUGGCGUAGGCCAUACAGCUCCAGCUUGACCCCUAGCCUGGAAACCUCCAUAUGCCGCGGGUGCGACCCUGAAAGACAAAAAGACGAGAAAAAAAAAAAAAAAA